rnacentral:rRNA from 1 species
GAUGAACGCUGGCGGCGUGCCUAAUACAUGCAAGUCGAGCGAACAGACGAGGAGCUUGCUCCUCUGACGUUAGCGGCGGACGGGUGAGUAACACGUGGAUAACCUACCUAUAAGACUGGGAUAACUUCGGGAAACCGGAGCUAAUACCGGAUAAUAUAUUGAACCGCAUGGUUCAAUAGUGAAAGACGGUUUUGCUGUCACUUAUAGAUGGAUCCGCGCCGCAUUAGCUAGUUGGUAAGGUAACGGCUUACCAAGGCAACGAUGCGUAGCCGACCUGAGAGGGUGAUCGGCCACACUGGAGCUGAGACACGGUCCAGACUCCUACGGGAGGCAGCAGUAGGGAAUCUUCCGCAAAGGGCGAAAGCCUGACGGAGCAACGCCGCGUGAGUGAUGAAGGUCUUCGGAUCGUAAAACUCUGUUAUUAGGGAAGAACAAAUGUGUAAGUAACUAUGCACGUCUUGACGGUACCUAAUCAGAAAGCCACGGCUAGCUACGUG